CUGGGCGUAAGCGUGCGUAGGCGGCUUUUUAAGUCGGAUGUGAAAUCCCUGAGCUUAACUUAGGAAUUGCAUUCGAUACUGGAAAGCUAGAGUAUGGGAGAGGAUGGUAGAAUUCCAGGUGUAGCGGUGAAAUGCGUAGAGAUCUGGAGGAAUACCGAUGGCGAAGGCAGCCAUCUGGCCUAAUACUGACGCUGAGGUACGAAAGCAUGGGGAGCAAACAGGAUUAGAUACCCUGGUAGUCCAUGCCGUAAACGAUGUCUACUAGCCGUUGGGGCCUUUGAGGCUUUAGUGGCGCAGCUAACGCGAUAAGUAGACCGCCUGGGGAGUACGGUCGCAAGACUAAAACUCAAAUGAAUUGACGGGGGCCCGCACAAGCGGUGGAGCAUGUGGUUUAAUUCGAUGCAACGCGAAGAACCUUACCUGGCCUUGACAUACUAAGAACUUUCCAGAGAUGGAUUGGUGCCUUCGGGAACUUAGAUACAGGUGCUGCAUGGCUGUCGUCAGCUCGUGUCGUGAGAUGUUGGGUUAAGUCCCGCAACGAGCGCAACCCUUUUCCUUAUUUGCCAGCGGGUUAUGCCGGGAACUUUAAGGAUACUGCCAGUGACAAACUGGAGGAAGGCGGGGACGACGUCAAGUCAUCAUGGCCCUUACGGCCAGGGCUACACACGUGCUACAAUGGUCGGUACAAAGGGUUGCUACCUCGCGAGAGGAUGCUAAUCUCAAAAAGCCGAUCGUAGUCCGGAUCGCAGUCUGCAACUCGACUGCGUGAAGUCGGAAUCGCUAGUAAUCGCGGAUCAGAAUGCCGCGGUGAAUACGUUCCCGGGCC
rnacentral:rRNA from 1 species